rnacentral:rRNA from 1 species
AUUGAACGCUGGCGGCAUGCCUUACACAUGCAAGUCGAACGGCAGCACGGGUGCUUGCACCUGGUGGCGAGUGGCGAACGGGUGAGUAAUACAUCGGAACGUACCUUAUCGUGGGGGAUAACGCAGCGAAAGCUGUGCUAAUACCGCAUACGACCCACGGGUGAAAGCGGCGGACCGCAAGGCGUCGCGCGAUUGGAUGAGCCGAUGUCCGAUUAGCUAGUUGGCGGGGUAAAGGCCCACCAAGGCGACGAUCGGUAGCUGGUCUGAGAGGAUGAUCAGCCACACUGGAACUGAGACACGGUCCAGACUCCUACGGGAGGCAGCAGUGGGGAAUAUUGGACAAUGGGCGCAAGCCUGAUCCAGCCAUGCCGCGUGGGUGAAGAAGGCCUUCGGGUUGUAAAGCCCUUUUGUCCGGAAAGAAAAGUCCCGGGUUAAUACCCUGGGUUGAUGACGGUACCGGAAGAAUAAGCACCGGCUAACUUCGUGCCAGCCGCCGCCGUAA